rnacentral:lncRNA from 1 species
UUUUUUUCUUUUUUUUUUUUUAAGAUUUUAUUUAUCUAUUUAUUCAGGAGAGACACACACAGAGAGAGAGAGGCAGAGACACAGGCAGAGGAAGAAGCAGCCUCCAUACAGGAAGCCUGAUGUGGGACGAGUCCUGGGACUCCAGGAUCAUGCCGUGGGCCAAAGGGCUAAACCAGUGAGUCGCCUAGGGAUCCCAUGGAUGUUGGAUUUCUAAUUUUUCCACAUCCAUGCCAACAAUUGGUGUCUUCAUUCCUUGUAAUUUUAGAUACUCUAAUAAGAUAUGUAGUGGCAUGUUUUGUGGUUUUAAUUUGUAUUACCUAGUGAUUAAUGACAAAUGCUGAUUUGCUGUACAUAUGUUUUCUCUGAUGAAGUUUAUGUAAAAAUCUUUUGCCUGUUUAUUAGUUUAUUUGACUUCUUAUAAUAAUAUCUGGAGAGUUUUUCAUAUGUUCUGGAAUAAAAUCUAUUAUUGGAUAUUUGAUGUACAAACACCUUUUCAUAUCUGUGGGUUUUUAAUUAUUCUCUUAGUGUCUUUUGAAAAGCAAAAAUAUUUAAUCGGGAUAAAGUCUAAUUUAUUGAUUUUUUUACAGAUCUUGCUUUCAGUGUCAUUUCUACGAAAUCUGCCUAACUCAAGACCACAUGGACUUUUUUUUCCUGUUUUAUUCCAAAAGCUUCACAGUUUUACAUUUAAAAUUUAGAUCUAUAAUCCAUUUUGUUAACUUUUGCAUAUAAUAAGAGAUAGGGAUUCAAGUUCACAUUUUUGCAUAUGAACAUCCGAUUGCUCCAAAACCAUUUGUAGGAAACACUAUUAUCCAAUGAAUUACUUUUGUAAAAAAUCAGUGGAUCUCUAUUCUGUUGCAUUAAUCCAUAUGUCUAUCUUUAUGCCACUAUCACAUUGGCACUAUAGCAUUCAAAUAAGUCUUGAUACCAGGUAGUAUAAUUCCUCCAACUUCACCCUUCCUUGCCUCUUCCAACUGCUGGUGGUUCCUGGAAUUCCUUGGCUUCUGGCAGCAUAACUUCAAUCUCUGCCUCGGUCUUCUCAUGUCUUUCUUUCCUGUGUCUAUGUGUACAUUUAUCUCUCCUUUCUCUUAUAAAGACACAAGUAACUGGAUUUAGGAUCUAAAUCCAAGAUUUCACCUCAAGAUCUUUAACCAAUUACACCUGCAAAGACUAUAAUUUGGGGGACACUAUUUAAAUCACUAUAGUAAGUCUUUGUACUUUGUGUAUCUUUCAGAUUUAUCCAUUUCAUCUAAAUUGUCAAAUCUGUUGGUAUGAAGUUAAUUAAUAAUAUUCACCUCUCACAUUCUUUUUUUUUUUUAAAAGAUUUUUAAUUUAUUUAUUUGACAGAGUGAAAGAGCACAGGCAAGGGGAGCAGCAGAGGAAGAGGGAGGAGCAGGCUCCCUACCAUUGAACUCAAUCUGAGGACCCUGGGAUCAUGUGUAACCAACUGACACCUAGGCACCCCUCACCUCUCACAUUCUUGAUAUUUGUGAUGUGUGUCUAUUUAUUUUUAUUCUAGAUCAAUCUGGCUAGAUGUUUAUCAAUUUUACUGAUAUUUUCAAAGAAUAAGUUUUUGGUUUCAUCGAUUUUCUCUUGUUUUUCUGUCUUCUAUUUCAUUGAGAGAUAUUACAUUGGAUCUUUAUUAUAUUCUAUCUUUUUUUUAAGAUUUU